CAGUAGCCGCGGUAAUACGAGGGGGGCAAGCGUUGUUCGGAAUUAUUGGGCGUAAAGGGUGCGUAGGCGGUUUGACAAGUCAUCUGUGAGAUCUCUGGGCUCAACCCAGAGUCUGCAGGCGAAACUGUCGGGCUUGAGUAUGGGAGAGGUGAGUGGAAUUUCCGGUGUAGCGGUGAAAUGCGUAGAUAUCGGAAGGAACACCUGUGGCGAAAGCGGCUCACUGGACCAUAACUGACGCUGAUGCACGAAAGCUAGGGGAGCAAACAGGAUUAGAUACCCCCGUAGUCCCUGUCUCUUAUAC
rnacentral:rRNA from 1 species